rnacentral:rRNA from 1 species
UACGGGGGAGCAAGCGUUGUUCGGAUUUACUGGGCGUAAAGGGCGCGUAGGCGGUCAGCACAAGUCAGUUGUGAAAUCUCCGGGCUUAACUCGGAAAGGUCAACUGAUACUGUGCGACUAGAGUGCAGAAGGGGCAACUGGAAUUCUCGGUGUAGCGGUGAAAUGCGUAGAUAUCAGGAGGAACACCGAUGGCGAAGGCAGGUCUCUGGGCUGACACUGACGCUCAUGCACGAAAGCGUGGGGAGCAAACAGG